rnacentral:lncRNA from 1 species
UUCAUAAUUUGAUUUCCGACCGAAAAUCGAUCCGAAUUAAAUCGAAAAAUCGAACCAAAAUCAAACCGAAUAUAGUUCGGUUCGGUUUUUAUUUUUUAUUUUUCAAAAUUUUGGUUUUCAGUUCGAUUCUAUUAAAAACUGAAAAAUUCGAAAAUCAAAUCAAAAAUUAAAAUCAUAAUUUAAAUUUAUAUUGUUUACUAUUUUAAAAAUUUGUUGGUUACAU